rnacentral:rRNA from 1 species
CAGCCGCCGCGGGAAUACGAGGGGGGCAAGCGUUGUUCGGAAUUAUUGGGCGUAAAGGGUGCGUAGGCGGUUUGACAAGUCUUAUGUGAAAUCUUCGGGCUCAACCCGAAGUCUGCAUAGGAGACUGUCGGGCUUGAGUAUGGGAGAGGUGAGUGGAAUUUCCGGUGUAGCGGUGAAAUGCGUAGAUAUCGGAAGGAACACCUGUGGCGAAAGCGGCUCACUGGACCAUUACUGACGCUGAGGCACGAAAGCUAGGGGAGCAAACAGGAUUAGAUACCCCCGUAGUCCCUGUCUCUUAUAC